UUCACUUUGGCGGAGUGGUUAACGCGCUGCCUUGCUAGUGAAUAAUUAGCUAGGCAGUUCCUGCGGGAGCGUAGGUUCGAAUCCUACAAGUGACA